rnacentral:rRNA from 1 species
GCAGGCUGCAACUCGCCUGCAUGAAGUCGGAAUUGCUAGUAAUCGCGGAUCAGCAUGCCGCGGUGAAUACGUUCCCGGGCCUUGUACACACCGCCCGUCACACCAUGAGAGCCGGUAACACCCGAAGUCAAUAGUCUAACCGCAAGGAGGACAUUGCCGAAGGUGGGAUUGGUAAUUGGGGUGAAGUCGUAACAAGGUAGC